rnacentral:rRNA from 1 species
UACGUAGGGUGCAAGCGUUGUCCGGAAUUAUUGGGCGUAAAGAGCUCGUAGGCGGUCUGUCGCGUCUGCUGUGAAAACUCGGGGCUUAACCCCGGGCCUGCAGUGGGUACGGGCAGACUAGAGUGCGGUAGGGGAGACUGGAAUUCCUGGUGUAGCGGUGAAAUGCGUAGAUAUCGGAAGGAACAUCAGUGGCGAAAGCGACUUCCUGGACCAAUACUGACGCUCAUGUGCGAAAGCGUGGGGAGCAAACAGG